GCCAGGCAUGGUGGCACAUGCCUGUAAUCUCAGCAUCUCAGGAGGCUGAGGCAGGAGGAUUAUGAGUUCAAGGCCAGCCUCAGCAAGAGACCCUAGCAACUCAAUGAGACCCUGUCUCUA
rnacentral:sRNA from 1 species